UGAAAAUCAAAUACCAAACAAACACCCCCAAGAAAGUAAAAGAGCAGUUUCAACUGAAGGAUGCAAGAGUGAGCCGUAACCAGGGAACAUCUAAUGCCUUCCGCAGCAGAGCAGCAAGGGUGCGCAGAGCCAUUCAAACCAGGCACCUGGAGCCCUGCAAAGGUCGGCGCUAUGAAGGAUGUCUGGCCAGCUGUUUGAAAUGGAAUUUGCACGAAGGUUUUCCAGGAAGGACACUAAAAGCUGAUCACAGGCUUGCUGUGAAAUCAUCAAAGAGAAUUAACCACUGAAGAUAUCUGGAAUACAGUCUUUAUAUAACUCCCAACUCAUCUUUUCCUGUGACCUCAUCGACUGGUCCUUGUCACAUCAGACCAUCACCAGUUAUCCGUCAACUCCGUGCUCACUCUGACUGUGUAUUGACUUGGACCUGGCACCGGACUUGGUUCUGAGGAUACAUAGUUCAUGUUUUCCUUUCUGGAGAACUCACUGAAGAGAGAAACCUUGGCAGCCGUGAUGGUUUUCCCACCGUGGACUGCGUCGAAUAGCAGCCCUGGAGUCAUGCCGUGCAGAACCAACUGAGAGCUUCUCCAUCCUCUAGCAAAUAGCAGCUGUGGGGAGCCGCCCUCACAUUCGCCUUACAAGAUGGUGCUGACAUCCUGUGUUCUAAGUGGUAAACAAAUAAUCUGCGCAUGUGCCAAGGGUAGUUCCCCACCCCAUGUGCUCUGCCUUCCCCGUGACGACAACUCGGCCGAUGGGCUGCAGUCAAUCAGGGAGUAAUACGUCCUAGGCGGAGAAUAAUUCUCCUUAAAGGGGACGGGGUUUCGCCAUUCUCUCUCUUGCUUUUGCUCUUGCACUCUUGCGCUCUUGCGCUCUGGCUCCUAAAGAUGUAAGCAAUAGAGCUCUUGCUCUCUUGCACUCU
rnacentral:lncRNA from 1 species